CUCCGUCAGAAGAUACAGCCGUUGUUCCAUCAAGCUGUUAAUACUAUUCCGCUCUUCUGACGAUGUCCUGCCGGUGCUGCCAUCACUGGCUGUGCUGCUCCUGUACGAGUUGGGGUCUAUCAACCUCGUCUCCAAUCCAACUAAGUAUUUACCCGAAUUUACUCAACGAGAACAAAGCCGGCGGCGUGUCAGAGGUCCCACCAUUUGUCCUCAUGAUUUUAUUGAGCUGGAUUUUGAAAUUCGAUAACGUUUUGGGAUUUACAGCUUCGGCAGGUAGGCAAGGCUUGGUGAUAAGUAUCUAAGUUUGUAUCACCUUCCAAUGUAAACCUGACCAGAUGUAAACUGUGUCAUCAGACGUUUUGGCAGACCUUGCCUCACUGUGCUGAGGUGUCAUAGCCCACGGACAAUGUAGAUAAAAAAUAAAAGAGUUUCACUACAUUAAUAUUACAUUUUCUUUCAUAGUGAUAUGAAUAGAAAACGUAAAAUUCUGGGGUAACUUUAAGAAGUGCUUAAAUGGUCAAUUACAAAAUAAUCUUCCAUAUUUUGAUUUUCAAAUGACUAUAUUUUGUCUUUAUGUUCGUGUUUCAUUCAAGAUCUAAUAUAUUUUUAUAUUAUGUAACUUUAUUAACCUUCACAAAUAUAUAUAUUAAAAAAAGUUAAGCACUUUCUGGUACCGAGUGGUAGUACCUCUUUUAUUGCAUUACCGGCUGCCUGUAGAGUAUUCCCACCCUGCUCAUGUAGAGGGUCCCUGUUGAGUACCCCCUGCUCCCGUAGAGGGCCCCUGUGAAGUAUUCCCACCACUGCUUAUGUAGAGGGCCCCUGUGGAGUACCCCCUGCUCACGUAGAGGGCAUCUGUGGAGUAUUCCCACCCCAGCUCAUGUAGAGUUUCCCCUGUGGAGUAUUCCCACUCAUGCUCAUGUAGAGGGCCCCUGUGGAGUACCCCCUGCUCACGUAGAGGGCCCCUGUGGAGUACCCUCUGCUCACGUAGAGGGCCCCUGUGGAGUAUUCUCACCACUGCUUAUGUAGAGGGCCCCUGUAGAGUACCCCAUGCUCAUGUAGAGGGCCCCUGUGGAGUACCCUUGCUCAUGUGGAGGGUCCCUGUGGAGUAUUCCCACCCCUGCUCAUGUAGAGGGUCCCUGUUGAGUACCCCCUGCUCAUGUAGAGGGCCCCUGUGGAGUACCCCUGCUCAUGUGGAGGGUCCCUGUGGAGUAUUCCCACUCCUGCUCAUGUAGAGGGCCCCUGUGGAGUACCCUUGCUCAUGUGGAGGGUCCCUGUGGAGUAUUCCCACCCCUGCUCCUGUAGAGGGCCCCUGUUGAGUACGCCCUGCUCAUGUAGAGGGCCCCUGUGGAGUACCCCCUGCUCACGUAGAAGGCCCCUGUAGAGAACCCCCUGCUCAUGUAGAGGGUCCCUGUGGAGUACCCCCUGCUCAUGUGGAGGGUCCCUGUGGAGUAUUCCCACUCCUGCUCAUGUAGAGGGUCCCUGUGGAGUACCCCAUGCUCAUGUGGAGGGCCCCUGUGAAGUAUUCCUGCCCCUGCUCAUGUAGAGGACCCUUGUGGAGUAUCCCCUGCUCAUGUAGAGGACCCAUGUGGAGUAUCCCCUGCUCAUGUAGAGGACCCAUGUGGAGUAUUUCCAUCCCUGCUCACGUAGAGGGCCCCCUGUGGAGUAUUCCCACCCCUGCUCAUGUAGACGGCCCCUGUGGAAUACCCCUGCUCAUGUAGAGGGCCCCUGUGGAGUACCCCCUGCUCAUGUAGAGGGCCCCUGUUGAGUAACCCCUGCUCACGUAGCGGUCCCCUGGUGAGUAUCCCCUGCUCAUGUAGAGGGCCCCUGUGGAGUAUUUCCACCCCUGCUCAUGUAGAAGGCCCCCUGUGGAGUAUUCCCACUCCUCAUGUAAAGGGCCCCUGUGGAGUACCCCCUGCUCAUGUAGAGGGCCCCUGUGAAUUACCCUCUGCUCAUGUAGAGGGUCCCUGUGGGGUAUUAUCACCCCUGCUCCUGUAGAGGGCCCCCCUGUGGAGUAUUCCCACCCCUGCUCAUGUAGAGGGCUCCUGUUGAGUACCCCUGCUCAUAUAGAGGGCCCCUGUGGAGUAUUCCCACCCCUGCUCACGUAGAGGGCCCCUGUGGAGUACCCCCUGCUCAUGUAGAGGGCCCCUGUGGAGUAUUUCCACCCCUGCUCACGUAGAGGGCCCCUGUUUAGUACCCCCUGCUCAUGUGGAGGGCUCCUGUGAAGUUUUCCUGCGCCUGCUCAUAUAGAGGGCCCCUGUUGAGUACCCCUGCGCACGUAGAGGGCCCCUGUGGAGUACCCCCUGCUCACGUAGAGGGCAUCUGCGGAGUAUUCCCUCCCCUGCUCGUGUAUUGUUCCCCCUGUGGAGUAUUCCCACUCCUGCUCAUGUAGAGGGCCCCUGUGGAGUACCCCCUGCUUAUGUAGAGGGCCCCUGUUGAGUAUUCUCACCCCUGUUUCUGUAGAGGGCCCAUAGUGAAGUAUUCCCACCCCUGCGCAUGUAGAAGGACCCUCUUGAGUACCCUCUGCUCACGUAGAGGGCCCCUGUGGAGUACCACCUGCUCAUCUAGAGGGCCCCUGUGGAGUAUUCCCACCCGUGUUCAUGUAGAGGGCCCCUGUGGAGUAUUCCCACCCGUGUUCAUGUAGAGGGCCCUUGUGGAGUACCCUCUGCUCAUGUAGAGGGCCCCUGUGGAGUACCCUCUGCUCAUCUAGAGGGGCCCCUGUGGAGUAUUCCCACCCCUGCUCAUGAAGAGGGCCCCUGUGGAGUAUUCCAACCCCUGCUCAUGUAGAGGGCCUCUGUAGAGCACACCUGCUCAUGUAGAGGGCCCCUGUGGAGUACCCCCUUCUCAUGUAGAGGGAACCUGUGGAGUAUCACCUUCCAAUGUAAACCUGACCAGAUGUAAACUGUGUCAUCAGACGUUUUAGCAGACUUUGCCUCACUGUGCUGAGGUGUCAUAGCCCACGGACAAUGUAGAUAAAAAAUAAAGAGUUUCACUACA